CUUGCGGCAGAAGUUUACCUAUCCCGUUUCAAUCAGAGAGAGAGAGAGAGAGAGAGAGAGAGAGGGGAACGGGGUGAAGGGGAGAGUGCAGCAGAUGCAGGAACCGAUGCAAGCAGCCCCGAUUCCUCGUCUGCUCGUCGACGCCAAAACCCCUAAACUGCAACUAAAUGGUUUCCUCAAAAGUACACAUACGUAUUUCGUAGAGUCGGAGUCGAGACUGGGGAAGCCCGUCGUCCGUCGCUGUUCUUUGUCGUUCGCCGUCGUCCGUCGCUGUUCUUUGUCGUUCGCCGUCGUCCGUCCAUCUUCGUCCGUCCGUCGCCGACCUAAACCAAAGCGGAGGGAAGGCGAAGAAGAAAGCCGGCGAGGCCGGCGGAGCGAGGCUGUGGAUGCGGUUCGACUGGUUCGGGCAGUCGGAGCUGAUCGAGUGCAACAAGAGCCCCGAUUCUUCGUUUGCUCGUCGACGCCAAAACCCCUAAACUGCAACUACAUGAUUUCCUCAAAAGUACACAUACGUAUUUCGUAGAGUCGUAGUCGAGACUGGAGAAGCCCGUCGUCCGUCGCUGUUCUUUGUCGUUUGCCGUCGUCCGUCCAUCUUCGUCCGGCCGUUGACGACCUAAACCAAAGCUGAGGGAAGGCGAAGAAGAAAGCUGGCGAGGCCGGCAGAGCGAGGCUCUCAGGCUGUGGAUGCGGUUCGACUAGUUCGGGCAGUCAGAGCUGAUCGAGUGCAACAAGAGCACGAUCAUCAAGCGCGUGUCGAUUCUGGCUUGGGAUUUGAGGAUUCUUGGCCCGUCUUCUCUCACUCCUCCAAUAUCCUGGACAAUCUUUGCCAAGUGUAAGAAAUCAGAGCAUUUAUUGUGUAUCAAUCUACAUAAACAUUUGUUAUCAAAUAAUGGAUAUUAUAAGGUUUUUUAAUCAGAAGCUUGACUCUCUGUUUGUUUGUAGGGUAACUCACUGAUUUUUGGAUUAAUGUUGCUCUGGAUCAUCCUUCCUAUUUGUCUUUCAUUUUCUCUUAUAAUUUUUUCAGGAAAAGACAGCUCCGAGAAAGUAGCUGGUUUGCCUCUCUCAUUCUCAUACGUACACAAUUGUGUUCCUAUAUAUAUUGGAGCAGAAAUAGAUCAAAAAAGCAUACAGUUCUUAACAUCACUGACUUGCAAGAGGGUCUGAUGAGCUUUGGCAUUCUCAGAAGUUAGAGCUCCAAGUUGCUACAGACUAUUUAGCUCUAAGAAUAUACUUGGCGCUAGGGGUUUUGGAAAUGUCUACAGGCGAAAGUUGGCGGAUGAGACAAUGGUGGCCGUAUAACGCUUGAAGGACGUGGUAGGAACAGCUGGGGAAUCACAAUUUAGGACUGAAUUGGAGAUGAUUAGCUUGCUAUCCAUCAGACUUUAUUGCGCUUAAUCGGAUACUGUACCAUCCAGAACGAGAGACUUCUGGUGUAUCCCCUCAUGUCUAACGGCAGUAUGACCACAAGGCUUAGAGGUUGAUUGGCUAACUGAGAAGAUGCCUUGCAACAGCUUUACUGUCUCUUCUAUGCAUGGAGAUAUGCCCCAGAAGGAGAGAGAUGCAAUAAUAAAAGAGUUCUGGGAUGGUGACACCUGUGAUCUGAUCACUACCAGAUCACUACCACUAUUGAUGUUUGGACUCGAGGGCUGGAUGUUCAACAGGCAAGUACUCUCUUUCGUUUAGUUGUUCAUACACUUAGUCCUUUGUAGUAUUCGGUGAAGUUUUCUUCUAGCUGCGAUUUGCCAAGGGACUAGUUGACAAUUAUGUCGACAGUUGUGAACUGGUGAUGCUAUUUAUGUACUCAGCUAUCUAUAUUUGUUUAGCAGAAUUACUAGCCCAAACAGAUCUAAGUCAAUUGGCAAUUUCGGAUUUUAAAACACAAAUUGGUGGUUGAUGAAAGUAAUGAGCAGCAUAACUAGGUCCAUCCAUUUGGUUGUUGUAGGGUGAGGAAGCUAUUGAGUAGAGGACUGUGAGUUAUAUGGCUAUGUGUGUAUUAGAGGCAGGCUAGGGCCUAACUCAAGUAACACAGUGAAAGAGUUGUAUGUUCUCAAUCAUAAAACUGAAGCUUUGGUACAUCUCUCGAAUACUGUAUGUUGGUCGAAUUUUUGACAUGUCAGCUAGGUUCUAGAUGUUGUCCUGGACGUAGCAGGUAUUGUGGCCCAGUUUAGAUACUCGCCAUAGAAAUCACGUGUGUAAUGGACCAUUCUUGAUAAACCAGGUAAGCAACGGCUUUCUUAAUGAAGUGGUCUAGUUCAUCAAGAAAAAAGCUGGUUCGGGGUGUAAACCGAACUGGUAUGUUUAGCCUUCAAAUUUGGCCUUAUAUAGGAUGAGAAAAUAAUGAAAAGCACAUAACGA